rnacentral:rRNA from 1 species
UACGUAGGGUCCGAGCGUUGUCCGGAAUUACUGGGCGUAAAGAGCUCGUAGGUGGUUUGUCGCGUUGUUCGUGAAAACUCACAGCUUAACUGUGGGCGUGCGGGCGAUACGGGCAGACUGGAGUACUGCAGGGGAGACUGGAAUUCCUGGUGUAGCGGUGGAAUGCGCAGAUAUCAGGAGGAACACCGGUGGCGAAGGCGGGUCUCUGGGCAGUAACUG